AUUGAACGCUGGCGGCAUGCCUUACACAUGCAAGUCGAACGGCAGCACGGGUGCUUGCACCUGGUGGCGAGUGGCGAACGGGUGAGUAAUACAUCGGAACAUGUCCUGUAGUGGGGGAUAGCCCGGCGAAAGCCGGAUUAAUACCGCAUACGAUCUACGGAUGAAAGCGGGGGCCCUUCGGGCCUCGCGCUAUAGGGUUGGCCGAUGGCUGAUUAGCUCGUUGGUGGGGUAAAGGCCUACCAAGGCGACGGUCAGUAGCUGGGCUGAGAGGACGACCAGCCAAACUGGGACAUGAGCACGGCCCCAAAUCCUUCGGGGAGGCAGAGGGGGGAAAUUUUGACAAAGGGCGGAAAGCUUGACCAGGAAAGGCCGCGUGUGUGAAGAGGGCUUCGGGUUUGUAAACACUUUUUUUCGGGAAAGAAACCCUGGCCCUUAAACCGUCCGGGGAUGACGGUACCGGAAGAAUAAGCACCGGCUAACUACGUG
rnacentral:rRNA from 1 species